CGCCUCUUGUUACCUAUAAGAGGUCCAGCCUGCCCAGUGACUCUGUUCAACGGCCGCGGUAUUCUGACCGUGCGAAGGUAGCGUAAUCACCUGUUCUUUAAAUGAGGACUAGUAUGAAUGGUCCCACGAAGGCUAUACUGUCUCCUUUUUCUAAUCAAUGAAACUAAUCUUCUCGUGAAGAAGCGAGAAUAAUUUUAUAAGACGAGAAGACCCUAUGGAGCUUUAAAUAACUAAAAAAUUGCAUUACCCCCUUCUUCCUCCUGAGCUACCACUCUUAUUUAAGCAUUUUUAUUUUUAAUUUUAGGUUGGGGUGACCACGGAGCAAAAUUUAACCUCCACGACGAAAGAGACUUCCUCUCUUAGCAAAAAGCUACUCCUUUAAGCAUCAGCAGACUGACCUUUUUGACCCAAUAAAUUGAUCAACGAACCAAGUUACCCUAGGGAUAACAGCGCAAUCUACUUCAAGAGCUCAUAUCGACAAGUAGGUUUACGACCUCGAUGUUGGAUCAGGGUAUCCUAGUGGUGCAGCCGCUACUAAUGGUUCGUUUGUUCAACGAUUAAAACCCU
rnacentral:rRNA from 1 species